GCCUCGGUAGCGCAGUAGGCAGCGCGUCAGUCUCAUAAUCUGAAGGCCGUGAGUUCGAGCCUCACCCGGGGCA
rnacentral:tRNA from 4 species